GAUGAACGCUGGCGGCGUGCCUAAUACAUGCAAGUCGAGCGAACAGACGAGGAGCUUGCUCCGCUGACGUUAGCGGCGGACGGGUGAGUAACACGUGGAUAACCUACCUAUAAGACUGGGAUAACUUCGGGAAACCGGAGCUAAUACCGGAUAAGAUAUUGAACCGCAUGGUUCAAUAGUGAAAGACGGUUGUGCGGUCACUUAUAGAUGGAUCCGCGCUGCAUUAGCUAGUUGGUAAGGUAACGGCUUACCAAGGCAACGAUGCGUAGCCGACCUCAGAGGCUGAUAGCCCACCCUGGAGGUUGGCCGGGCUCCUGGCUCCUACGGGAGGCACCAGUAGGCAAUCUUCCGCAACAGUCGAGAGCCUUGCGGAACAGCCCCGCGCGUGUUAUGACGGUCUUCCGAUCGUAAUGACCUGUUUUUGGUUAUAAACCAAUGUGUACGUAACUAUGCACUUCUUGACGGUACCUGGUCAGAAAGCCCCGGCUAACUACGUG
rnacentral:rRNA from 1 species